rnacentral:rRNA from 1 species
CGAUGAACGCUGGCGGUAUGCUUAACACAUGCAAGUCGAACGAUGUUUUAGGACAUAGUGGCGGACGGGUGAGUAACGCGUAAGAAUCUGCCUUCAGGUUUGGGACAACCACUGGAAACGGUGGCUAAUACCGAAUGUGCCGAGAGGUGAAAGGCUUGCUGCCUGAAGAAGAGCUUGCGUCUGAUUAGCUAGUUGGUGGGGUAAGAGCCUACCAAGGCGACGAUCAGUAGCUGGUCUGAGAGGAUGAUCAGCCACACUGGGACUGAGACACGGCCCAGACUCCUACGGGAGGCAGCAGUGGGGAAUUUUCCGCAAUGGGCGAAAGCCUGACGGAGCAAUACCGCGUGAGGGAGGAAGGCUCUUGGGUUGUAAACCUCUUUUCUCAGGGAAGAAGAAAAUGACGGUACCUGAGGAAUAAGCAUCGGCUAACUCCGUGCCAGCAGCCGCGGUAAUACGGAGGAUGCAAGCGUUAUCCGGAAUGAUUGGGCGUAAAGGGUCCGCAGGUGGUAGUGUAAGUCUGCUGUUAAAGAGUCACGCUCAACGUGAUCAAAGCAGUGGAAACUACACAACUAGAGUACGGUAGGGGCAGAAGGAAUUCCUGGUGUAGCGGUGAAAUGCGUAGAUAUCAGGAAGAACACCGGUGGCGAAAGCGUUCUGCUAGACCUGUACUGACACUGAGGGACGAAAGCUAGGGGAGCGAAUGGGAUUAGAUACCC